UACACUCCUACGGGAGGCAGCAGUGGGGAAUAUUGGACAAUGGGCGCAAGCCUGAUCCAGCCAUGCCGCGUGAGUGAUGAAGGCCCUAGGGUUGUAAAGCUCUUUCACCGGUGAAGAUAAUGACGGUAACCGGAGAAGAAGCCCCGGCUAACUUCGUGCCAGCAGCCGCGGUAAUACGAAGGGGGCUAGCGUUGUUCGGAUUUACUGGGCGUAAAGCGCACGUAGGCGGACUAUUAAGUCAGGGGUGAAAUCCCGGGGCUCAACCCCGGAACUGCCUUUGAUACUGGUAGUCUUGAGUUCGAGAGAGGUGAGUGGAAUUCCGAGUGUAGAGGUGAAAUUCGUAGAUAUUCGGAGGAACACCAGUGGCGAAGGCGGCUCACUGGCUCGAUACUGACGCUGAGGUGCGAAAGCGUGGGGAGCAAACAGGAUUAGAUACCCGAGUAGUCCCA
rnacentral:rRNA from 1 species